GAACUUUGUCUCUAGAGGCUGUGGUCGUCGCCGCCGCCGCCACCCCCACCCCCAUCGCCCCAAGGGCUUCGGAUGCCUUCAUCCUCCAGAUGACAGGAUAACCCUGGUGGCCACGUCGCUGCGCCUUUCCCUUGGGGGAGGGGCGAGGCCCGAGUGGGGUCCAAGCGCGGCUCCAGGAACUUGGUCAACUCCUGGGAAGCCUUUGGGUUAAACCACGGAAAUGGAAACAAAAUCAACCCUGAUCUCCCAUGCUGCAUCUUACCUUGGUGGACUUCUUACUGCAGAGUAUUUUUGUUCUGCUUUUUUAAAGAUUUGGGCUUUUCAAGGUUAUUUAAGAGAUACUCAAAAAUCAGCCUCACUUACUGAGCGAAGAGAGCCACAGGUUUAGCAACGGGUGUGGGGUGCAGUGCCUUAUGGGGAUUUAAAGUCCACCUUAGAAGGCAAUAAUGUAUGUACAAAGCCAUGGGUUAUGGUGCUUUUGCUCAAGGAAAAGGUUAAUGAGAUCCUUCAAGGAUUCAGUUUGGCAAUCUGUUCUCAUAUCUGUUUCUGGUUUAGGUCCAGUUCACGUUUAUUUUUAAAAGUAGGUUUGAUUAGCUGGUGGGGGUGUUUUUACACUUUGGGGUGGUAGGGAAACUGCGUGGAGACACUGCUCUUCUCAUCCCUCCUGGAAUGUGGGUUUUGGUGGGAAGUUUCUAUCAAUAGCCUGCUCUGUGCAAUGGGCCAGUGACUGGCGCCGAAUUCCAGCCCUGUGCCAUCGACAUUGACCUAGUUUGAUUCUAUGAGCUUUUGGCUGGGGAGCUGAUUGAUCCAAGGAAUUACAAAAAUUCCCUAUUAACAACAGCACUUAUGCAACAAAUAUUUAUGGAGAGCCCGCUGGGUGCCAGCACUGGACACACGGUGGUUGGUGAGCAAGAAGGAAACGAUCUCUGGGCCAUGUUGCUGACAGUCAGAUGAGGGAGAGACUCACUUUUGACCCAAUUUGUGCGAUGCUGUGAGGCUUUGGGGUUGCCUAGUUGUGUCUCUGAGAGGUUCUUGAUUUUUUUUUAAAAAGUCACCAUCUUUCUACUUGCUUACAUUCCAGUUGGCUUAUUCAGAGAGGGAUGAUAACGGGGAAGGACCUACUGGGCGGGUUCGGGGUGGGGUGGGGUGGGGUGGGAGGGGGAGCAAUGAGUUGCUGGAUAUUAGAGCGUAGCAGUGGCUCUUCACAGCAGCGGUGUGUCCUGAUGGUAAGCCAGCCUGUAUUCUCCUUUCCGCAGCCAUUACCUGUUCUCCCACCUUUCCGUCAGUAACUCUUGCUUCUGUUUCUCAAUCCUUGACCCAUGAGAUGGCUGAAUUAUAUUUGUGCAGUAAAAUAAAGUGACUCAAACUCAUGUCCUUGUAUCCAUUUGAGAUGUAAGAUGUGCUUGCUUGUAAAAAAGGAUCCUUCCCCUUGGUUUUUGUGUCUACAUGUGUCCAUGAGAUACUCUGAAAGUGCCGACCUCCAACAAAACUUAAACCGACUUUGUGAGAGAAUGCAGGUGGCCCUGGGAGGGUGUGGGUAGAGAGGUUGACCGGGAGAGCCUCACCCACGCAGAGGUGAGCUCGGAGUCUCCAAAGAAAGGUGAGAUGUGGAGUCCCUGCCAUGACUGUGAUUUGAUUUUAUGCUUAAAUGGUUUGCUUAAAGCCCUUAGCUUUGUCCCCUGCCUGUGGCUGCUGGUGGCUAAAAGGACUGACAGGACAGGAGGACUAUGGUGUCCCCGGGGGGCAAAGAUGAGGGAGGAGGAACUAGGAAAAUGGGUAGUCUGGGGUGUUUACUGUAGACCUUGAACUCAGACCUCAGUCACUCAGCAACCGGUGUGUCCCAUCACCUCCCAAGUAGCAGGUGUUACUCUAGAUGCUAAGGAUGCAACAGUGAGGAAAAAAAAAAAAACACACUCUUGCUCCUCUUGGUCAUUCUGCCAGAGGCAGACGAUGGAAAUAUAAAAUAGAAGGAUGGAAAACAUGCCAGGAAAGGGAGAGCGGGGAGCACUGGGGGCACAGGGUGGUAUUAGAGCUGGGGGCGCCAGGCCGAAGGACCCCUUCGCCAGCAGCUCGCUUUGCAUGGCCCAGGCCCUCCUGUCUUUGCUUCCAGCAUUUCAAAGGAAUAAAACAAAGUGUAGGUGCAAUAGAAACUAUCGAUCAUGAAACAUUGGUAGGCUUUCUCUUUUCUAAAAGCAUUUUUAUUUUCAUUUGCAAAGGCUGGGAAAUGUGGGGUACUAGAAAAUCUAUGAGGAGCUAGGGAACCACAUUGCUGGCUCCUUACCUGUCUGCCAUGUCUAAUCCCAUCUUCUAGCAGCAAAAUUCUAGGACUGCAGGUAACAUUGCACUUCUGAGAAUGCUUAUUUCAAAGAACUCCCAAGUGCUUCCAAAUGUUCUUUGAAUAGUGGGGUGAGGGGUGCACACCUAUUCCCUGGGACCCACAGGAGAUAGGAGCCCAACAUCUAGUUAACAUGUAAUUGCAGGACCUACUUUUUAGCUAAACUUCAUAUUAUCUGAUUUAAAUUUCUCUUAAUCAUGUGGGCUGUCUGCACAGGGAGAUUUCAUGGGUCACCCUUCCAGACCCAGGAAUCUUACAAAUAACCAAAGCUAUGGGCAGGGAAAGACGGAAGCAGAGCUCAUUGUUCACUGUCCUGUAAGCGUAAUAGAUUCGUGGCCCUUUUAGCCAUAGAGGAACCAGGCAGAAGGGAGAUGUCUCUUCGGCAGACCCCCACACUAUUAGACACAGGGCCCAUAAUUCUGAUCUGUGGAUUCAUCACAUGGGCACGAGGGGAGCAGACGGUGGCUUCGCUGCAGCAAGAAGCCACCCCAGAAAUGACUUCUCUGCUUUGUGCCUCAGGUAUGCCUCUUGUUCCCCACUGAAUAGGAAAAAUACCAAAAA